AUUCCAGCUCCAAUAGCGUAUAUUUAAGUUGUUGCAGUUAAAAAGCUCGUAGUUGGAUUUCGGUUGAGAGCGGCCGGUCCGCCGUUUGGUGUGCACUGGCUGGUUUCAGCUUCCUGCAGAGGACGCGCUCUGGGCUUAAUCGUCUGGACGUGGAGUCUGCGUGGUUACUUUGAAAAAAUUAGAGUGUUCAAAGCGGGCUUACGCUUGAAUAUUUCAGCAUGGAAUAACACUAUAGGACUCCUGUCCUAUUUCGUUGGUCUCGGGACGGGAGUAAUGAUUAACAGGGACAGUCAGGGGCACUCGUAUUCCGCCGAGAGAGGUGAGAUUCUCAGACCAGCGGAAGACGAACCACUGCGAAAGCAUUUGCCAGGGAUGUUUUCAUCA
rnacentral:rRNA from 1 species